ensembl:ncRNA F11D11.20 ncRNA
GCUUACGCUUAGGCUUAGGCUUAGGCUAAGGCUUUGGUUCAGGCUUAGGCUUAGGCUUAGGCUUAGA